CAGUUCUGGAGAGGCGACCCCAGCAUCUACCAAGCCUUGUUUGUCCUCAGGCGAAGGAUGUCCCUGAAACAACCCUCUGGUUACCAGAAGCACAGAACAUUAAAGUCUGCAGCCAGACCUUGAUCUACGUCUUAAAUAAUCCAGUCCAGUGAAAUAUCAAAACUCGAAACUCCCAACCACUUGAAAAAGUCUCUCCUCCUUCCUUUCUGCUUGGGUGGAAUUAGAAUCGAGACCUACAGCGCCGCUGCCUCAGGCUCUCCUCCCUGUCUCAGGAAGAAGAAAUGCACAGCACCCUGCCCCUCUAUCCACAUCUCUUCAAACUCUAACACUUCCCAUCCUCUGAAACAGUCUGGGAGUCGGUCCUGGGCUCACGGCAGCAGAAUGGGGACAUCC
rnacentral:lncRNA from 1 species